AACGAACGCUGGCGGCAGGCCUAACACAUGCAAGUCGAACGCUCCGCAAGGAGAGUGGCAGACGGGUGAGUAACGCGUGGGAACGUGCCCUUUGGUUCGGAAUAUUCCCGGGAAACUGGGAGCAAUACCGGAUAAGCCCUUCGGGGGAAAGAUUUAUCGCCAAAGGAUCGGCCCGCGUCAGAUUAGCUAGUUGGUGAGGUAAUGGCUCACCAAGGCUACGAUCUGUAGCUGGUCUGAGAGGAUGAUCAGCCACACUGGGACUGAGACACGGCCCAGACUCUUACGGGAGGCAGCAGUGGGGAAUCUUGGACAAUGGGCGCAAGCCUGAUCCAGCCAUGCCGCGUGGAUGAUGAAGGCCCUAGGGUUGUAAUAUCCUUUCGACGGGGAAGAUAAUGACGGUACCCGUAGAAGAAGCUCCGGCUAACUUCGUGCCAGCCGCCGCGGUAA
rnacentral:rRNA from 1 species